UACAGAGGGGGCAAGCGUUGUUCGGAAUUACUGGGCGUAAAGGGUGCGUAGGCGGCGCGGUAAGUCGGGUGUGAAAUCUCGGAGCUUAACUCCGAAACUGCAUUCGAUACUGCCGUGCUUGAGGACUGGAGAGGAGACUGGAAUUUACGGUGUAGCGGUGAAAUGCGUAGAUAUCGUAAGGAAGACCAGUGGCGAAGGCGGGUCUCUGGACAGGUCCUGACGCUGAGGCACGAAGGUCAGGGGAGCAAACGGG
rnacentral:rRNA from 1 species